rnacentral:rRNA from 1 species
UCUACGUAGCAGAGUUUGAUCCUGGCUCAGAUUGAACGCUGGCGGCAUGCCUUACACAUGCAAGUCGAACGGCAGCGCGGGGCAACCUGGCGGCGAGUGACGAACGGGUGAGUAAUAUAUCGGAACGUACCCUGGAGUGGGGGAUAACGUAGCGAAAGUUACGCUAAUACCGCAUACGAUCUAAGGAUGAAAGUGGGGGCUCGCAAGACCUCAUGCUCCUGGAGCGGCCGAUACCUGAUUAGCUAGUUGGUGAGGUAAAGGCUCACCAAGGCAUCGAUCAGUAGCUGGUCUGAGAGGACGACCAGCCACACUGGAACUGAGACACGGUCCAGACUCCUACGGGAGGCAGCAGUGGGGAAUUUUGGACAAUGGGCGCAAGCCUGAUCCAGCAAUGCCGCGUGAGUGAAGAAGGCCUCGGGUUGUAAAGCUCUUUUGUCAGGGAAGAAACGGUGGUCUCUAAUACAGGCUGCUAAUGACGGUACCUGAAGAAUAAGCACCGGCUAACUACGUGCCAGCAGCCGCGGUAAU